UAAUCCAAUUUUUUAUGGGUCUUGGUCAGUCGCCACCACCUCGCUGCCGAGGAUGUCGAAGGGAGAAGUAAUCGACUUUGAUUCCGAGACCACCGGAUUGUCUUUUCCAUCCGUGGUUUCGACGGUUGAAUAUAGUGAGUUUGUUCCUGAAAUUCAUUUUUCCGAUGCAUCAGUGGCGACACUGCUUGGUGAUGACCAGAAUCACCAUUGAUGUUCAAACGACCUUUAACAAUCGUGGAGGAGUUUCAAUUGCUCUACUUCCCGUCAAUUUUCACUCUGCUAGUUGUCAAGGAAAAGCUUAUACUGAGAUGAUCACGGGGCAAGCUACAAUUUGAGAUAAGCAGUGCAAAGGUUAAACUUUUUGUGGUCCCCUGUUUAUAGCAUAUCUAAUUUUGGAAGGAAACUAUUUGAAGGGAAAGCAAAAUUUGGGGAGUAUUUGAC